rnacentral:rRNA from 1 species
CAGUAGCCGCGGGAAUACGUAGGCAGCGAGCGUUGUUCGGAAUUACUGGGCGUAAAGAGUGUGUAGGCGGUGCUCUAAGUUUGGUGUGAAAUCUCCCGGCUCAACUGGGAGGGUGCGCCGAAGACUGGAGUGCUCGAGCGUGGGAGAGGAAAGCGGAAUUCCUGGUGUAGCGGUGAAAUGCGUAGAUAUCAGGAGGAACACCUGUGGUGUAGACGGCUUUCUGGACCAUUGCUGACGCUGAGACACGAAAGCGUGGGUAGCAAACAGGAUUAGAUACCCCCGUAGUCCCUGUCUCUUAUAC